rnacentral:rRNA from 1 species
GACGAACGCUGGCGGCGUGCCUAAUACAUGCAAGUCGAGCGAAGUUUUUCUGGUGCUUGCACUAGAAACACUUAGCGGCGCACGGGUGAGUAACACGUAAAGAACCUGCCUCAUAGACUGGGACAACUAUUGGAAACGAUAGCUAAUACCGGAUAACAGUAUUUCUCGCAUGAGAGAUAUUUAAAAGUUGGUUAUGCUAACACUAUGAGAUGGCUUUGCGGUGCAUUAGCUAGUUGGUGGGGUAAAGGCCCACCAAGGCGACGAUGCAUAGCCGACCUGAGAGGGUGAUCGGCCACACUGGGACUGAGACACGGCCCAGACUCCUACGGGAGGCAGCAGUAGGGAAUCUUCCGCAAUGGGCGAAAGCCUGACGGAGCAACGCCGCGUGAGUGAAGAAGGAUUUCGGUUCGUAAAGCUCUGUUGUUAGGGAAGAAUGGAUAUGUAGUAACUAUACAUGUAAGAGACGGUACCUAAACAGAAAGCCACGGCUAACUACGUG